UGCGACAUCAUGCCCAAUCCCUUCUCGGUUAGCGAAUCUUCCUCACGGGCUAGGGUUUGCGACACAUCCACACCGCCGACGCCUCUCUUCUUCCUUCUCUCUGCGGCGACGACAGCAGCAAUCUCAGCGGGGCAGCGAGUGACAGCGACGAUCCCGACCAUAUUCACCUCACCGGAGGGGUUCUCCGGUGUGAUCUCCACUGUCCGGCUUUCUUCUGGAAACUCCACUUCUUGGGGUUCAGGCGGUGGAGCAAGGAGGAGGCGACAGCAGGUAUUCCACCAUUUCGAGCCACUUCCAGCGAUGGUUCUCUGUUGGAAGAUCCGUAUCCUAUUAUUUUCGAAGCAAGCAGCAACCAGCGGAGAGAGCUACUGUUCACUAGUUUGUGGGGGUUCCGAGUCGGGCCUUUCGUGUGAUGGCGAAGGGUAGUCUUUGGUAAUCGGAAACGGAUGUGUGGAUUGUGGUUUGGAUAAUUAGAAUUUUCUUGUUUAGUUAGUUUAAUUUGGUUCAUUGUUAAUGUUUGUGUUGAAUUGUGAUUGAAUGCUUGUAUUAACUUGAUCUUUCAUGUUUAAAUUGCACAUAUUAUGUUCAAUUU